rnacentral:misc_RNA from 1 species
CUUGCACAACGGUUUACGAAGUAGAAAUAUUGGAAACACAAAAGACUCGAUACUCUGUGAGCAUCUUCAACAGAUUAAAAAUGAAGGUUCUAAAUCAGAAUCAAUCGAUCAUCUGGGUCUAACUAGUUUCCAGAAAAGUUGGGGCAGCGUCGAGUCAAAUGAUCGUUAGAGUUACGUAAAGCCGCGUUUUGCUGGCGCCUUCUCUAUUUACUCUCUCUCUUUCCUCCUAAUACUGUCUUUGUGUCGAUAGGACGCGACAGCUUUUUGUGGUUGAAUUUGUGUCGCCAACGAGCAGACAGACGGUGCCGUAAGA